GUGAAGUAUUUUGCUCAAGGUCGUUCAUCAAAUUAGUAGUUUAAUUAACUCAGUGUUCUAGGAAGCAGGGUAGUAGAAAAGCAUGGGAUUCGGAGUCUGAAAUCUUCCUUGGUUUCUGGUCCUUGUAGGCUGUUUUACAAGUGUAUCUUGGGCAAAUCCCUUAACGUCUUGCCAUUUAUUAAGGGCUUACUUACCACGUGGCAAACAAUCCACUUUGCAUGCUGUGUCAAUUACAUGCAGUAUGUCGUGUAGUUAUUACUGUCCCCAUUUUAUGAGGUAGUUUAGGUUUAAAGAUAUUAGAAAUUUACCCAAAGUUACGCAGUUAUAAACAUUGUAGUAAUUUCAAACUCAGGUCUUCGUGACUGCAAAGGCUGCUGUCUUAAGUAUUGUAAUACAUUAGAGCUCCGGAUUCCCUCCCACUCAAAACAGAGACUGAGACUCCAACCAAUUUCCACCAUUAUUGGGAGUCAAACGAGAGAGACUGUGGCAAUGUAUUCUAAGCUGUACAAAGGUAUAAACAUAUUCACUAGAUUUGUAGAAUGAAGUUAUUCCUUCCCUAUACUUUCCACUACAACAAUUCAGCCAAAAAGAUGGCUUUCAUACUAAGCAUAAGAAGGAACUUCACUGUAAUUAUGAUAUUCUAACCAAGAAUAUAUGCAUAUCUAGGCAAUAACCAAAGUGAAUAGAAUAAAAUUUAAUUCCUGAUAGAUUAAAUAGGCAAUAGCAAGGAAUGCUAACGCUCCUCAUAGCGUUCUUGUUGGAAGAAUCAUCUAGGAGGCAUUGGGAUUUCUGGUGCUUUUUAAGCAAUGAGAGAUAUCAGUCCACUGAAUGAGGAAGAGAAUAACGUUUAGUUUCGGACUAAAAGUUCAUCUGGACUACGGAAAACACGUUUGCCUCAAUCAGUGAAGAAGGUAUGCUGAGAGCUGAAAGAAAAGGAAAGCAGUUCUGAAAUAACCCAUCUUGAAGACAUAAACAAUGUGCAUUGAUGGCUAGCCAGACUCUGUCCUGCCACAGUUCUCCUCCUACUCUUCAUUUCUUACCCCAAGGAGUAGUAAACAUGAAUCCUGACCCACCAAUGCAGUCCCAGAACUGAGAAAAGAUUCACUGCAGCUAAACAGUAGGUAGAAAUAAAAACAAUGACUCAAUUCAAUAAUAUUAAGUGUGUUGGGAAGACAGUCUCCAAGAGAAACGAUAAAUAACCUACAUAAUGAAGAAUUAGUUAGCAGUGUUAUGUAAAUAUUGUAGCAGCAUCAAUGAGGAGGAUUAUUUUUGCACCUUUGGAAAGCAACUGAAAAAGGAAGCCUGGAAAAAAUCCUGCCUAACAAAGCAGCAGUACUCAAAUAGCUUUAACUAUAAGAAAGAACUGAUUCAAGAUAUGAGAAGAGAUUUAAGAUAUAAGAUUAAAUAUAAGUGUAAAUGAUAUCCUCAUUUUUAUUGAAAUGCUGUGUAUUCCUAUUAUUUCAGUGAAAUGUUAAAUGGCAAAGGAUGCAUUUUUUAGAUUAUUUUUUUCACUGAAUUUUAAACAGUCUUUGAAGCAGAUAUUUCAUAUAACAAUAUCCAGAAACAAUAACACAUAUGUGGAUAAAGUUGAGUGGUUGGAUAAUGUAUUGUGCAAAUUAUCAAGAAGAAAACCAUCUUAAAGAAAUAUUUUAGCUUAACAGCAUCAAUAAAUGGGACACCUAGUUCAC
rnacentral:lncRNA from 1 species